CUCCAGGUCCGAAGGAUGCUGGCGCGCGAACCGCGUCAGGACCUUGCCGGUAGCAGCGCUAAGCGAUGUCCAGUAUUGCUUCGGGGUGCCUGGGGGCA
rnacentral:SRP_RNA from 1 species